rnacentral:rRNA from 1 species
GGACCAUCAUGUCGGUCGUGCCUCGGUACGUACUGGCACCGUCGGUUUCUCCCUUCUGACGAACCAUGAUGUCAUUAAUUUGGUGUCGUGGGAAAUCAGGACUGUUACUUUGAAAAAAUUAGAGUGUUUAAAGCAGGCUCGCGCUUGAAUACAUUAGCAUGGAAUAAUGAAAUAGGACGUUUGAUCCUAUUUUGUUGGUUUCUAGGAUUGACGUA